UAAAACCUUGGAGGUUUUAAGGUUUUAUUGGCCAGGCAUGUCUGUGAACAUUAAAAAAAUCGAUAACGCAUUGUGCAGCUUGCCAGCAAAAACAACGUUCUCUAAAGAACCAAACCCAAUAUACCCCAAUUGAGGUGGCAGGGCCAUGGGAGAUUGUGAGUAUGGACUUGGUGGGAAAGCUCACACCAGCAAAAGAUGGUUACCAGAACAUUUGCGUUAUGGUAGACUAUUUUACCAAGUGGUGUGAGGCUUUCCCACUGAAGUCUAAAAGGGCAGAGGAGGUAACAGAGUGCAUAAUUAAACUUUUCUAUUAAUUCGGUGCCCCUAAAAGGCUACUAACAGAUCAAGGCACUGAAUUUGUAAACCAGAUCAAUCUAGAGGUGUGCCAAACACUGGGCAUCAGCAGGAGCUUAUGUGCACCAUACCACCCGCAAACGAAUGGAUUGGUAGAGAGGCUUAAUGGC